AUGCACGCUGUUGAAGAUGCCCUAACAACAACCCAGGAAAGACAUCGGGGCGCACCAACCCCUCCCCCACCUUUCCCAAUGGCCGACGCCUCUUCGGGCGGCGGCGGCCGCGCGCCCCGUCCGUCAACCUCCCCGUCCGACCCUAAGCUUGAGCACUCGGCGUCGGCAUCCCUCGACGGUGGCCUCCUCCUCCGUCUCCUCCAAAACUCUUCUCCACGCCCGCAACAUCAGCAAAACCCCUCGCAGCCCCUCGCCAAGCCGAACAACUUCUUCGUCGACCCCGCCGUCGCCGCCGUCGGCCCCAUGUUUUCCUCCCCACCGUAUGUGCACGUGGGGGGCUUUGCGUGGCGCUCCUCCUCCUCUCCUCAACCGCAGCUCGGGUCCUCCGAUCCUCGCAUCGCGCAGCCGUUGGAUCCUUACGCGGAACGUGGAGGAGGCGGAUUCCGAUCCGUGGAUGUUGUCUCGAGGAACAGGCCGGAGAAGCCAAGGUCAGGGGCGCCGCCUCCUGGAUUUGGCAAGCCGUCGCCUCCUAAGUUUGCCACGGCGUGGCAUUCGGCUACCGGUCGUGAGGUGCAUGAUGUUUUUGGUGCAAUGCAGCAGAACAGGGAGCAGCAAAGGGAGCCAAACUAUCACCACCCAGAGGGCUUCGGUAGAACACAUAAUACUGAAAUCCAGGAGAUGCCAACUUUCACAGGUGGCCAGGGAGUACUCGGCAGACUGCCCCAUGAAGAGCGCAACACAUCAUUGAUCAUAGGUAGCCAUGGUCCAGCUGCUGUAAUGAUGUACAGGGAGCAGCAGCAGCAACAACAUGAUCACAUAUUAUCAAGGACGCCACCUGAUGCAAAUGCAAGUGCAAAUGCCCAUGGAAUUACUGAAAGGAUACCGCAUGGGGAUCAGCAUAUACUUCAAUUUGCAGGUGGCAGGACACUCAUUGGAGAACAUCAUAUCCAUCCAUCCACAGGUGCCAGAAUACCACACAAAGGUCAGCGGCAGCAAGAGCCCUGCUUGGCAGACAUUUCACAGCGUGAUCAGAGGUGGCAGGGCCAUGCCUCGCUGAAUCUUUCUGCUGGGAUUGUGCUUGAGAUGUUAGGUAAGAUGCCAAUGAAGGAAAAACACCAGGUGACAGCACCUUCUAGCAGUUCAGUUGACAUGGAUGUUAGGGGGGAUAGAGGUAAGAAGUUCCUGGCAGAAUCAACUGGCUUGGAGGUUGGAUUUGGGGAAGUAGGUUUUGAACGUGGAGUGCACGGGCGGGUUGUAGUGGAUGCAAGGAAUUUCAAGGUAUCGUGCCAGAACAGUGAGGUUAGAUUUGCUGCAAAGAAAGAGGAAGAGGAUGCUGACAGCAAGGAGGAAGAUUCUAUAAUUGAGCAGUUCAUGGAUACUGUGGUGAUUGAGGGAAAUGAUGAGGCCAAGGGCAUGGUGGUGCGGAACAGUGGCUCAAGGAGUAAGGACUUCAGAUCAGACUCUUCUAGAGGACAUCAUGUAUCAAGUCAACGAGUAAGAUUUCAGAGGAGAGUCAGGGCAUGUCGGUAUGAUAUAGAUCAAUUUACACCUAAUUUCUUGUCAAUCUUUGACUCAUUGGUGCCCUCAGAAGAGGAAAUUGCAAAGCAGAAUCAGUUGGUAAUAGCUCUGAGCAGACUAAUAAACAAGGAAUGGCCAAAUUCAAAACUCUACCUCUAUGGAUCGUGUGCUAAUUCGUUUGGUUUCUCAAAUAGUGAUAUUGAUCUUUGUCUCUCUAUUGAUGACAAGGAAAUGAGCAAGGUUGAUAUUAUACUGAAAUUAGCGGACAUCCUUCAAGCUGGCAAUCUCCAGAAUAUUCAGGCAUUAACUCGAGCAAGGGUCCCAAUAGUGAAGCUUAUGGAUCUGGAUACAGGCCUUUCCUGUGAUAUAUGUGUCAACAAUCUUUUAGCAGUUGUUAACACAAAACUUCUCAGAGACUAUGCACAAAUAGAUCAAAGGUUACGGCAAUUAGCUUUCAUUGUGAAGCAUUGGGCUAAAUCUCGUCGUGUAAAUGAAACAUACCAAGGAACACUAUCUAGUUAUUCCUAUGUAAUAAUGUGUAUCCACCUCCUACAGCUGCGCAGAAUACUCCCGUGUCUACAGGAAAUGGAGGCAACUUGUUAUGUCACUGUGGAUGAUAAUCAUUAUGCUUAUUUUGAUCAAGUGGACAAGCUAAGUAACUAUGGCGCUCACAACAAUGAGACUUUGUCAAGUCUGCUUUGGGCUUUCUUCCAUUAUUGGGCAUACCAGCAUGAUUACACACAAGAUGUUAUAUCAAUUCGUACGGGAAAGAUCAUUAGUAAGCACAUGAAGGACUGGACAAGACGUGUCGGAAAUGACAGGCAUCUCAUUUGUAUUGAGGACCCAUUCGAGACCUCCCAUGAUCUUGGCCGUGUCGUCGACAAGUUCAGUAUCAAGAUCCUCCGAGAGGAAUUUGAGCGAGCCGCCAAUAUAUUGCAGUAUGAUCCAAACCCAAGUGUGAAGCUCUUUGAGCCAUAUGUGCCACGUCCUCCAUCUGGGACCCUUGACGAGGAAGGGAUUCUUAGUACCGCGGGAGCUAUAAUAUGA
rnacentral:rRNA from 1 species